AGCCUAUAAGGGUGGGAUUGGUUUCGUGCUCAACCCUCAGCCAAUGAGGGCUAAAAGUUAGUAGAUAAAUACCCUUCCUCCCAGGCCUCACGCACGUAGGUUUUGGGGCAUGUGUUACAGAAGUCUUGGAGGGUCUCAGCAGCAUUGUGCUCCUGGCAUUUGUUAGGCAAUCUGCUCAGCAAUGCACCCUUAUGUGAUUUUUUCUUUUCCCCACUUCCUCACUGGUGCCUUCUGGGACCACUUCUCAAAUUGACUGCCUAUAGCUUUAUCUUAAGGUUUGCUUUUGGGGGAAACAUAAGAUGCUAUUACACAGCCAUAAACUUUUUUUUGACUCUGUGUAUAGUGGAACCAGUUUCCAUCAAUUUUUUAAAAAUUACCUUAUUAUUUAUUUUUGGUUGCCCUGGGUCUUUGUGGCUGAGUGCGGGCUUUCUCUAAUUGUGAUUUGGAUCAAAGUAGCAAGCUAUCGCAUCAUCAGUAAUAUAGAUAUGAAUUUAAUACAGCUGACAAUAUGGCUACACCUCUCUUGGAGCUUUGAGGAAUGAAGAAUACAAAAACAAGCCAAUAGCUAUUAUUUUCCUAUAUCCCUGUGCAUCCCUUUAACAUCAAAAUCCUUUGCUAAUGUCAUAACACUCUUCUUGUUCCCCUUUUUCAAACUCUUCAGUUUAACUACUUUGUAGUCCCAGACAGUCAUAUUA
ensembl:lncRNA